GCCGCCAUGGUGAAAUUGGUAGACACGCUGCUCUUAGGAAGCGUGCUCAAGCAUCUCGGUUCGAAUCCGCGUGGCGGCA
rnacentral:tRNA from 1 species